rnacentral:rRNA from 1 species
UACGAGGGGGGCAAGCGUUGUUCGGAAUUAUUGGGCGUAAAGGGCGCGUAGGCGGUGCGGUAAGUCUGAUGUGAAAUCUCCGGGCUCAACUCGGAGUCUGCAUCAGAAACUGCCGUGCUCGAGUGUGGGAGAGGUGAGUGGAAUUCCUGGUGUAGCGGUGAAAUGCGCAGAUAUCAGGAGGAACACCGAUGGCGAAGGCAGGUCUCUGGGCCACUACUGACGCUGAGAAGCGAAAGCAUGGGGAGCAAACAGG